rnacentral:rRNA from 1 species
CACGUAGUUAGCCGGUGCUUUUUCUGCAGGUACCGUCACUCUGUGUAAAACACGUCGCUUCUUCCCUGCUAAAAGAGGUUUACGACCCGAAGGCCUUCGUCCCUCACGCGGCGUUGCUGCAUCAGGCUUGCGCCCAUUGUGCAAUAUUCCCCACUGCUGCCUCCCGUAGGAGUCUGGGCCGUGUCUCAGUCCCAGUGUGGCCGGUCACCCUCUCAGGCCGGCUACCCGUCGUCGCCUUGGUGAGCCGUUACCUCACCAACAAGCUGAUAGGCCGCGAGUCCAUCCUUGACCGAAAUUCUUUCCAGCAACUCACCAUGCGGUGGAAGCUCGUAUCCGGUAUUAGACGCCGUUUCCAGCGCUUAUCCCAGAGUCAAGGGCAGGUUACUCACGUGUUACUCACCCGUUCGCCACUAAAUCCACCAGAGCAAGCUCCGGCUUCAUCGUUCGACUUGCAUGUGUUAAGCACGCCGCCAGCGUUCAUCCUGAGCCAGGAUCAAACUUC